rnacentral:rRNA from 1 species
AGAGUUUGAUCCUGGCUCAGGACGAACGCUGGCGGCGUGCCUAAUACAUGCAAGUCGAACGAACGGAGGAAGAGCUUGCUCUUCCAAAGUUAGUGGCGGACGGGUGAGUAACACGUGGGCAACCUGCCUGUAAGUUGGGGAUAACUCCGGGAAACCGGGGCUAAUACCGAAUGAUAGAAUGUGGCGCAUGCCACGCUUUUGAAAGAUGGUUUCGGCUAUCGCUUACAGAUGGGCCCGCGGUGCAUUAGCUAGUUGGUAGGGUAAUGGCCUACCAAGGCAACGAUGCAUAGCCGACCUGAGAGGGUGAUCGGCCACACUGGGACUGAGACACGGCCCAGACUCCUACGGGAGGCAGCAGUAGGGAAUCUUCCGCAAUGGACGAAAGUCUGACGGAGCAACGCCGCGUGUAUGAAGAAGGUUUUCGGAUCGUAAAGGACUGAUGAUAGAGAAGAAAUAGGAUAAGAGUAACUGCUUGUCCCUUGACGGUAUCUAACCAGAAAGCCACGGCUAACUACGUGCCAGCAGCMGCGGUAAUACGUAGGUGGCAAGCGUUGUCCGGAUUUAUUGGGCGUAAAGCGCGCGCAGGCGGUCUUUUAAGUCUGAUGUGAAAGCCCCCGGCUUAACCGGGGAGGGUCAUYGGAAACUGGAAGACUGGAGUGCAGAAGAGGAGAGUGGAAUUCCACGUGUAGCGGUGAAAUGCGUAGAUAUGUGGAGGAACACCAGUGGCGAAGGCGACUCUCUGGUCUGUAACUGACGCUGAGGCGCGAAAGCGUGGGGAGCAAACAGGAUUAGAUACACUGGUAGGCCCCGCCGGAAACGAUGAGGGAUAAGUGUUAGGGGGGUUCUGCCCCUUAGAGCUGCAGCUAACCCAUUAAGCACUCCGCCUGGGGCGUACGACCGCAAGGCUGACACUCACAGGAAUUGCCGGGGGCCCGCACACGCGGUGGCGCAUGUGGUUUAAUUCGAAGCAACGCGCAGAACCUUACCAGGCCCUGACAUCCUUUGCCCACUCUGGAGACAGCGCUUUACCUUCGGGGACAAAGUGCCAGGUGGUGCAUGGUUGUCGUCAGCUCGUGUCGUGCGAUGAUGGGGUAAGUACCGCAACGAGCGCAACACUUGAUUUUAGUUGAGAGCAUUUAGUUGGGCACUCUAAAGUGACUGCCGGUGCC